UAAAGAACAGUUGCUAAUACA
rnacentral:siRNA from 1 species